UUUUUUUUUUCUUCUCCUAAUUUUGGCACAGACCUGUUGAUCCAUAUUUUGCCAAGGUGUCAAGUGAUGUUAUUUAAAAUGACAGUUUACGACGCGAAACAAAAAUUGGUUUUCUUCGCAAGAAUUGUUCAAAAAUAUUCUGAACAGGUCUAGUAGUCUUUCUAUUGUUGAAUCAGUGUAGAUUUUUAUUUAAAUUGUGUCAAAUGCUCGCGAUUUUAACGUAUUCAAACAUUUACUCUGGAUGUCGUAUAGUAAACAUUUGUUACUGAGUAUGGGGUACUUCCUCCUUACAGACGACAGUUUAGAGCAAUCGAAGAGUAUAUGGAAAAGGUCCUCUUUAACCUGGCAAGAUUCACAUAAGUCUGACCUAAUAAGAUUCCACUUCGCUAGCCGAUCCUUUGUAGCUGUAUGAAAGUUGACAUCAAAAGCUUUAUGCGACCCUGCACAGUGAAAGCAUCUUACAUCAAGUGAUGUACAGGUGUUUCCCUCAUGCUCUGGAUUCGCACAGACAUAACAUCUCGUUUGCCCUGACUUGCAAGCUUUAACUCUGUGGCCGUAUCUGAGACAUCUCAAGCAGUAUUUCAAAGGAAAAAUGAACACAUCUACAACCCUAGGAAUACCAAAAAUGGACACUUCUUUGGGCAAUUUUUCACCUUCUGCGAAUAUUUUCACACUGUAGGUUGGUACUAAUUUCCCUUUUACCAUUUUCUGAAUCCUUUCUACCUUAG